rnacentral:rRNA from 1 species
UACAGAGGUGGCAAGCAUUGUUCGGAAUUACUGGGCGUAAAGGGCGCGUAGGCGGUUCGUUAAGUCCUGUGUGAAAUCCCCCGGCUCAACUGGGGAACUGCACAGGAAACUAGCGGGCUUGAGUUCGGGAGAGGGAAGCGGAAUUCCGGGUGUAGCGGUGAAAUGCGUAGAUAUCCGGAGGAACACCGGUGGCGAAGGCGGCUUCCUGGACCAACACUGACGCUGAGGCGCGAAAGCUAGGGGAGCAAACGGG